UGAACGCUGGCGGUAUGCUUAACACAUGCAAGUCGAACGGAAACGAUACUAGCUUGCUAGUAGGCGUCGAGUGGCGGACGGGUGAGUAACGCGUAGGAAUCUGCCUGAUAGUGGGGGAUAGCCCGAAGAAAUUCGGAUUAAUACCGCAUAAUCUAUUCGUAGUAAAGUGGGGGACUUUCGAGCCUCACGCUAUCAGAUGAGCCUGCGUAAGAUUAGCUUGUUGGUAGGGUAAAAGCCUACCAAGGCUACGAUCUUUAGCUGGUCUGAGAGGAUGAUCAGCCACAUCGGGACUGAGACACGGCCCGAACUCCUACGGGAGGCAGCAGUGGGGAAUAUUGGACAAUGGGGGCAACCCUGAUCCAGCAAUACCGCGUGUGUGAAGAAGGCCUGAGGGUUGUAAAGCACUUUCAAUUGUGAAGAAAAGUUAGCGGUUAAUAACCGUUAGCCUUGACGUUAACUUUAGAAGAAGCACCGGCUAACUCCGUGCCAGCAGCCGCGGUAAUACGGAGGGUGCAAGCGUUAAUCGGAAUUACUGGGCGUAAAGCGUGCGUAGGCGGUUUAUUAAGUCAGAUGUGAAAGCCCCGGGCUUAACCUGGGAGCUGCAUUUGAAACUGGUCAACUAGAGUAUGGUAGAGGAAAGUGGAAUUUCUGGUGUAGCGGUGAAAUGCGUAGAUAUCAGAAAGGAACAUCAAUGGCGAAAGGCAGCUUUCUGGACCAAUACUGACGCUGAGGUACGAAAGCGUGGGUAGCAAACAGGAUUAGAUACCCUGGUAGUCCACGCCGUAAACGAUGAUAACUAGCCGUUGGGGGGAUUUACCCUUUAGUGGCGAAGCUAACGCGUUAAGUUAUCCGCCUGGGGAGUACGGCCGCAAGGUUAAAACUCAAAGGAAUUGACGGGGACCCGCACAAGCGGUGGAGCAUGUGGUUUAAUUCGAUGCAACGCGAAGAACCUUACCUGGUCUUGACAUCCUGCGAACUUUCUAGAAAUAGAUUGGUGCCUUCGGGAACGCAGUGACAGGUGCUGCAUGGCUGUCGUCAGCUCGUGUCGUGAGAUGUUGGGUUAAGUCCCGUAACGAGCGCAACCCCUAUCCUUAUUUGCCAGCACAUCAUGGUGGGAACUAUAAGGAGACUGCCGGUGAUAAACCGGAGGAAGGCGGGGACGACGUCAAGUCAUCAUGGCCCUUACGACCAGGGCUACACACGUGCUACAAUGGGAAGGACAAAGAGCCGCGAAGCCGCGAGGUGUAGCUAAUCUCAUAAACCUUUUCGUAGUCCGGAUUGGAGUCUGCAACUCGACUCCAUGAAGUCGGAAUCGCUAGUAAUCGUAGAUCAGAAUGCUACGGUGAAUACGUUCCCGGGUCUUGUACUCACCGCC
rnacentral:rRNA from 1 species